CGCCACCGAGUCAAAGCUCAUAUUUCACCCUUGCCCAAUUUCGCACGUGCCUGUGGUCGUGUGUCAGUCGGUAGGUAUCCGGACAAGAGGCCGGACAGCCGCCAAGGCCAAGGGAUGAAGAAGCCGAGGGUCACUUAGGUCGGUCUGGACUUAAGAGGCCAGCAUCUCUCUCCAGGGAUGCCGUUGAAGGCGACUUUGCUCCUUGCAACCGUGACUGGCAGGCGGAGG
rnacentral:misc_RNA from 1 species